rnacentral:rRNA from 1 species
UGCCUACGGGACGCAGCAGUGAGGAAUAUUGGUCAAUGGUCGGGAGACUGAACCAGCCAAGCCGCGUGAGGGAGGAAGGUACAGAGUAUCGUAAACCUCUUUUGUCAGGGAACAAAGGCGGGGACGUGUCCCCGGAUGAGUGUACCUGAAGAAAAAGCAUCGGCUAACUCCGUGCCAGCAGCCGCGGUAAUACGGAGGAUGCGAGCGUUAUCCGGAGUGACUGGGUGUAAAGAGUUGCGUAGGUGGCAUAAUCAGUAGCUAGUGAAAUCUGGUGGCUCAACCAUUCAGACU